UUAGUGUACGCAUUCGACUGUGAACCUCUGACAAGUGAACAAGUGGCCCGCACGUUCUGAAGUGACUGUUCCUUAAAUUCACAAAAAAGCAAAAAGCUAUUGAUUUAAAAGCAACCGCCUUGAUUUUGGACAAACGAGCUAAGGACAUACGGAUAGGAUAAGUAAUUAAGGAUGGGGGUGGUGGACCCUGGGGGAGGCUCCCCCGGGUCAUAUUAUGAGAUCCUCGGGGAGGAUCAUAGAGUGAUGGGGAAGAGGAAAAGGAAGAUGAGAGGGGAGAAAGUAGCAUUGGAAGAAAUGUGUGACAACGAGGAAAUAUUUAUGGUGGUAGAGAGUAUCACAGAGGGGAAAACGUUAGCAACAUUUAACCCGUUUCUAUUCCGAAAGUCAGUCGAGACUGCCAUUAAUGGCAAACCGGUACAAACGACGCUGCUGAGGGAUGGCAAAAUCCUCAUGAAGAUGAAGAACAGAAGCGACGCCAGAAAGCUGUCAAAACUUAACCUCAAUCACCCGGGCGGCACGUUGAACGUAAAAGUAUACGAGCACGAAUCGCUUAACCUCACAACCCAAGGGGAAAUUCUCGAGGAUAAAUAUCCCCCUCUCUUUCUAUUUAUACACCUCUUCCGUUCGCACUCAUGGAUGAUUUGUCACACACUCGAGUUUGGUUCAUGAUGACCUUAAUGUUUACAUUUUGCUCUCCUUUUAUUAUUAUACCCAUCUCGUUUACGCCUAUAGAUUCACCUUGUUUGGGUGAAUAUGUGUAUGGGCAUGUGUGCACUCGUACAGGGUUGGUCUCGUUACUUUACGAUACGAAUGGUAUAUAUUAUACCGUCAUUAUUGUUUUUACAGUUCGUUUGAGUAUUUUCAUUCAAUCCCAGAGUGUUUUUAGUUCUUCAAUUUAUUUCACAUGGUUUUCGAUAUGAUUUUAUUGUCAAGACGGUAGGUUUUGUCGAAAAAAUGUAUAUAACAAAUUGAAACACUUUGUACAAAAUAUGCCGUUCGCAUCGCAAAGUGAAUAGGCGAGCCCUGUAUCUUUGAUCGCUGAUUUUUGGUCGGGCUGCUCAUGGAGAAGGGGUAAGAGUUCAUGCGUGAUUUGAUUAGAAGAGACGGAGAGGUUAACGAAGCCGAUCGUCUUCGUUCUACUCACUGUGUGAUUGUUGAUCCAAAUCUCUUUUCCGCCAAUAAAUGUUGCGGAAAAUUUUAUUAGGUUUCAAGUCGUGCGAUUUGUCUUGAGCAAUUUGUGCAGGAAAUGUUUUCGUCAAUAAGAAAGGAUGCUGCGGAUCUUUCGAUCGUCAUAGGGAUCGGCUCAGGAUAUGCCUUCAAAUACCGUUACUACAUUAACCUUCACGACGACCAUGUCCCGGACAAAAAUGGGGACGACACUGGAGCUUUUCUUUGCCUGGUUCAGCUGCGCAAUAUGUACGUGAUGCAUUUCGCUCGUUCAUGUUUUUGUUACACCUAACACUAUCGCACUGAGCGGCCGGGAUGGGCCUCCGGCUCGAAGGGAACAAUCGACACCAACAGGAGAUUGACUACACUGUGUCAACCAUCCUGUCCAGUGCAACCAGGCAACACAACAUUCCUCUUCAGCAACAGCACCAUCAUAAUCCGUGCUAGAAGCAACCAUUGCUGUCGGGAGACUAAAAGAUGCAAAAUUGAUCUUAAAUAAAAGCAAACAAAUUUGUGUAGAAUGAUGA